rnacentral:rRNA from 1 species
UACACUCCUGCGGGAGGCAGCAGUGGGGAAUAUUGGACAAUGGGCGCAAGCCUGAUCCAGCCAUGCCGCGUGAGUGAUGAAGGCCCUAGGGUUGUAAAGCUCUUUCACCGGUGAAGAUAAUGACGGUAACCGGAGAAGAAGCCCCGGCUAACUUCGUGCCAGCAGCCGCGGUAAUACGAAGGGGGCUAGCGUUGUUCGGAUUUACUGGGCGUAAAGCGCACGUAGGCGGACUAUUAAGUCAGGGGUGAAAUCCCGGGGCUCAACCCCGGAACUGCCUUUGAUACUGGUAGUCUUGAGUUCGAGAGAGGGGAGUGGAAUUCCGAGUGUAGAGGUGAAAUUCGUAGAUAUUCGGAGGAACACCAGUGGCGAAGGCGGCUCACUGGCUCGAUACUGACGCUGAGGUGCGAAAGCGUGGGGAGCAAACAGGAUUAGAAACCCCGGUAGUCCCAUG